UACGAAGGGGGGCUAGCGUUGCUCGGAAUCACUGGGCGUAAAGGGUGCGUAGGCGGGUUUUUAAGUCAGGGGUGAAAUCCUGGAGCUCAACUCCAGAACUGCCUUUGAUACUGAAGAUCUUGAGUCCGGGAGAGGUGAGUGGAACUGCGAGUGUAGAGGUGAAAUUCGUAGAUAUUCGGAAGAACACCAGUGGCGAAGGCGGCCUCUGGACCAAUACUGACGCUCUGCACAGAA
rnacentral:rRNA from 1 species